rnacentral:rRNA from 1 species
GUGCCAGCUGCCGCGGUAAUACCGGCAUCCCGAGUGAUGACCGAUCUUAUUGGGCCUAAAGCGUCCGUAGCCGGCCUCGCAAGUCCGUCGGGAAAUCCAGUAGCUCAACUACUGGGCGUCCGGCGGAAACUACAAGGCUUGGGACCGGAAGGCUCGAGGGGUACGUCCGGGGUAGGAGUGAAAUCCUGUAAUCCCGCUCGGACCGCCGAUGGGGAAACCACCUCAGGAGAACGGAUCCGACAGUGAGGGACGAAAGCCAGGGUCUCGAACCGGAUUAGAUACCCCAGUAGUCC